CACAAGCAAUGAUGAUACUGACAUGUUGUCAUAGCCCUGAAAAGUUAAUGUGGGUUUUUAAGUCACUACCUCAUCUGAGCUUGUG